rnacentral:lncRNA from 1 species
AAAAUGCAAGCUUAAUGGGAAGCAGAAUGUAUUUUCCCUUUUAUUAUAACUGUGUGUGUGUGGGACCUGUUGCCCCCUGAGCUGUGCCCCCCUCCAGUUCAUGUGUUAAACAUUAACCUCCAAUGUGUUGGUAUUCGGACUCUUUGGGAAGUAAUUAGGGUUAGAUGAGAUCAUGAGGGUGGGCCUCGUGAUGUGAUUAGUAGCUUUGUAAGAAGAAGAGAGCUCUCUCUUUGCCACCUGAG